CCUAAAUAGCAUGCAAGUGGAAGCUUUGACCUCAACAAUUGUAUUUGACCUCUGAAGAUGGAAAAAAGCUACAAGAGAUCAGCCUAGAAACUAAAACUAAGGAAGAAGAAAUGAAGUGUAAUAUUUAAGGAGCAAGAAGGAAGCAGUAUUUUCUUGGUGGUACAUGCUGAAUUUUUAAGAGCUAAUGGAUAUUUUUCUUUAACUGACAAAAAAGAUGAGUUUGUUUUUCUUUGGGUUUCCUAGCAACUUUUUCUGAAUAUUUUAUUGUGAGCCUUUCAGGCACAAGAAACUUAUCUUUAUGCAUCUAUAACUUUAGUAUUAUGAAAAAGAAGCAAAUAUCUUUCAAAAUUAUUACCCACAUUUGGUUAUAACUGUUUUAGAAAGUGAAAUAUGUAUUCACUUGCACCCUCCCACUGCUCCCCCCUCCCAUAUAAUGAAGAGCUGAAUCAGCGAAUAGUGAACGAACACUCAAGAUGAGAUGGCUGCUGCUGAUGUCUCUCUCUAGGUCAUUACCUCUUUUCCAACUGAAAAUGCUGCAUGAUAAGCUUACAGAAGCCAUUGGCAACUUCAGCAAGAUACUGGAGAUGGAACUUUUUAUUUGGAAUAUUCCAUUUGGACAGUGCUCACAUAAAACAGACUAACACCUGGAUGAAGACUGUAAUGGCAACUCAACUUUGAAGUGGAGUGCAACUUGCCAUAUCAUGAAGAAUUUUGUACAAACAUUUAGUGAAAUUAUAUUGCUCUUCAUCUGCAAGCAUAUUAUAGCAAGAAGCAGCAGCAGACACGUGGGCAAGUACUUGAAACCAUCUUGACAAUAAUGAAUUUGAAUAUGCUUUAUAUCUACUGUACAGAAAUCAUACCAAGUUUAGCCUAAUCAAUAAAUGUACAUUUGUAUAAAAAUACAAUAAACAUGGAUCCUGGACCUAAUUAGGAACAUGCAUCUUAUACCUUAAAAUAAUGUGCUGUGAGGAAAAUUCUUUUCAGCUUCAUCCUGCGGAUAGCUGAACCACUACUAAAACUUGCCCAGAGCACAUACUUCUUUAUGUACCCAUAUGAAAAUACAGUGCUAUGGAAUGUAAAGAAGUAUGUAUUUUUGGCAGGUGUGAACUACCAGUAACAGAAACUGAAGUAAACUCUUCCUGAAAUGAAUUUUCUUUGAUCUGGAAGCAAAACAUUUAUAAUUUGUAAAUUUACAAAAAAUAUUUGGCAAAAAUGUGUAGAGUAUUGAAUGUAUUUGUUAGUAAUACAACUUUGUUCAGAUAUACAGUUUAUGUUCUAUGAAUUCCAAAUAUAAGAAUGUAAAAUCAAAUUGGAAUAGCAAUCAUAUACAAAGUUUGUGUGUAAAAAUUGCUACUAACAAUUUCUGGAUAAUGACAGCUCUGAUUGCCUGAUCAGACUUAAACAUUUUUGGCUAGCAAUCUUUACUGAAGCUUUUAAACAUGUUUCUGAUCUGUAACAAUCAUGAGACAAAGAAGUGAAACAUGAAUGUUGAUAGCACAGCUAUUAGUUGAUUUGAAACGAAUCAACAAAAAAAUUUAACUAUUCAAAAAUAUUACAAUCUCUAAAGUGAUUUUUUUGUUUAGAAAUGAAGCUAAAUUAGAGUUGACCGUCACAGUGAAAAACUCAAAAUGAUCCUCAGAUGUCCCAAAACUUCUCUCACAAGCCCAUAAUUUUUAUUCAAAUCCAUAAAGAACAUUCCAGCAUAAUGCAAAUCAGCUAAACAACAGUAAGUACUGCUACUGUGAUUUUAUAGACCUCUUACUCCCAAGUAUCUCAGGACCCAAAGCAAGCAACAAUAUUCAAAUAAUAAACUGAACAAAAUAUUUUUUUAAAACAGAUACAAAAUAUAUUAAAACCAUGUCAACACCAAUCUAAAACCUCUGUGACUCACCAGCGGGAUAUCCCGCCCCCCCUUUCCCAUGCUGACUGCCCCAAAAGCUCUCAAGAAUAAUUCUAGGUAGGAAGCCAUGUUGGUCUGCAGGAAAACAACAGGAUUUGAGUCUAGAGGCACCUUAGAGACCAACAAGGUUUUCAGGGUGUAAGCUUUCAAGAGUCAAGGGAGCUUUGACUCCUGGCAAGCUUAUACCCUGAAAAUCUUGUUGGUCUCUAAGGAGCCACUAGACUCAAAUCCAUCUGGAAUAAUCCAGCUGAUAUAAAAAAAAACCCUCUUGAUUUCUUUUAGGAAGCUGUUACACAAACAUGGAACAGUCACUGAAAAAGCCCAAGUCCAGACUGUUGCAGAAUGUGCCAGGACAAAGGGAAUACCGGUUCACAGAAUCAGCAUUGCUGUUAGAUGACCAUCUACCCUCUGCUUAAAAACCUCCAAAGGAGAGCCCACCACCUCCCAAGGAAACCUGUUCCACUGAAGGACCACUCUAUCAGGAAAUUCUAUGGACUCUUCUUACCUUUCCCCUACGUCCAUUGCCACCAUCCUGAUCUUCCCAUUGCCAGUCAACUCCUCGAACCACCCUGGCACCUGUGAA